rnacentral:rRNA from 1 species
AAUAGAUACCCCGGUAGUCCACGCCGUAAACGAUGAGUGCUAAGUGUUAGGGGGGUUUCCGCCCCUUAGUGCUGCAGCUAACGCAUUAAGCACUCCGCCUGGGGAGUACGGUCGCAAGACUGAAACUCAAAGGAAUUGACGGGGGCCCGCACAAGCGGUGGAGCAUGUGGUUUAAUUCGAAGCAACGCGAAGAACCUUACCAGGUCUUGACAUCCCACUGACCGCUAUGGAGACAUAGUUUUCCCUUCGGGGACAGUGGUGACAGGUGGUGCAUGGUUGUCGUCAGCUCGUGUCGUGAGAUGUUGGGUUAAGUCCCGCAACGAGCGCAACCCUUGAUCUUAGUUGCCAUCAUUUAGUUGGGCACUCUAAGGUGACUGCCGGUGACAAACCGGAGGAAGGUGGGGAUGACGUCAAAUCAUCAUGCCCCUUAUGACCUGGGCUACACACGUGCUACAAUGGACGGUACAAACGGUUGCCAACCCGCGAGGGGGGUAGCUAAUCCCGGAUAAAAACCGGUUCUCAGUUCGGAUUGUAGGCUGCAACUCGCCUACAGU